AGUUGGGGAAACACUGGUGUGUGUGUGAACCAUCGCUUACCCUUUGGGGUCGACCCUACAGAGAUGUGAGCGCCUACUGCUUGUCCUUUCAUGCACAAAGAACAGCAUUGUCCUCUGCAGACCAGGAAAGCUCUCUUAACAUCGUCAUGAUACGGGGACUGUUGCUGUGGAAACUGCCCCCCUUACCGCACCCAGUCAGAAUUUGUGUCCGAUUUCUGGCUUCUCCACACACUGUUGAAGAGCGUGAAGUAUUCCAAGUCAGUGGACUGACUUGAGGCAUGUUUCGGGAGAGAGCUGGUCAAAACGUUUGUGGGAUCCUGCACCCUUCGCUACUCGUCAACCCCCACCACGGGGAAGCGGAGGGCGGAGAGGAGUGCAGAACAAGAGGGGGACAAGGAGAAAGUGUCCAUGAGGAGAAUCCGAGGCCUCUAGAGGAGGAGCGCGCAGGCACACUCCUUUUACACAGGACUCGAUGGAGAAUGGCAGCAGAAGCCUGUAUUUGUGUAUUUAAUUUGGCCUUUGAAUUCCUUGGUGAACAUAUUUGUAUAUAGUUGCAGCCAAAUAUUGGCACCCUUGCACUUUUCUUAAUAAUUCAAUAUUUCUUCUAAAAUAACUUGAAAUUUGAAAAAACCUUUGGUCUCCACACCUUACUGUAUUUUUAACAUUACAGAACCAAUUUUAUUUUGGUAAAUUUAAGUUUACAAUUUGGCAUGUACAAAAUGAUUGGCAAGUACUUGGUUGCAUAGCCUUUAGCCAAGAACUGCAGACAAAUGCUUUUUGGCUGCAUCUUAUUACUGUCGAUUUUACUCAGCCUUCAGAAGCAAACUGCUCUAAUUCUUUCAUGUUUGAGGGGUGCCCUCCACCAAAUGCUGUUGUCAGCUCUCGCCAUAGGUUAUGGAUGUGGCAACUGCUCGGUCUCCAUACAAUGGGUUCUAGAAUGUUGAAAAUUCAAGGUCUGGAGACAAAGUUCUCCAUUUUUCAAAGAAAUAGGGAAUUAUUUGAGAAGUGCAAGGGUGCCAACUAGUUUGUUACAAACCUGAUUUUUACACUGGGGAUGAAAACAAUG